rnacentral:rRNA from 1 species
UACGUAGGGUGCGAGCGUUAAUCGGAAUUACUGGGCGUAAAGCGCGCGCAGGUGGUCUUUCAAGUCAGUGGUGAAAGCCCGGAGCUCAACUCCGGAAAUGCCAUUGAAACUGUAAGACUUGAGGAUGAGAGAGGUGAGUGGAAUUCCCAGUGUAGAGGUGAAAUUCGUAGAUAUUGGGAAGAACACCGGUGGCGAAGGCGGCAUCCUGGACCGACACUGACGCUGAGGAGCGAAAGCCAGGGGAGCAAACGGG